AUGAAAUUAGCACAGGCAACCGCGGCUGCCAGCAGCCUCACCGUGCCGAUGCUUUGCGCUCCCACCUGAGCCACUGCCCUGCUCUGUCCUUGGAGGAUGAGUUGGGUGCCCAUGAGUCUCCCUGCUAUUCCUAGGAGUUUACUCAGGAUCUGCAGGAGGAUGUGCAGCCUGGAGCUCACCACUACCCUUCUCUUCAGACCGCUGGGAGGUGGAAGUGCUGAUAGAAACACUGCGCUCCUCUGGGCCGUGCAGGCAAUAGGAGGUGGAGCUCCUUGCCCAGAUAUCUUGCUGAUAUCCCUCGCCAUAUGGGAUGUGUGUGGUGCUGCUUCCUCCUGGCUGUCACUCGUGGGGUUCUGCCCCGGCUCCGAAGCUCCGUGCGUGGGAACAGCUCCUGGCUGGGGCUCAUCUCUGUCUGCAGGAGCUGCUCGGCCUCUUUCAGCACAUCUCAGUCUGUUUGGAGACAGUUCCCACAAGCAUCUCUUCUCCAGGUGUAGCGGCUUUCUCUCCCCCGUGUUUCAGCCGUGGUAUCACAUUAUUUAUGGUUUCCUGCCUGUUGGCUGGUUUGGAAGUCAGCAAUUCCCCGAGAUGAAGUUGUACGAAGUUGGCUGGUGCUGAAUUUGCAUUUUUUUUUUCCCAGAAGAGAGAGAGAUCGAGGGAAAAAACGUCACCGUGCUGCAUCACCGGGCACUCCAUCCCACGGGUCUGCCCAUCCUCACCCCUCCAACGCCAACGCCCCUCAGGUGGUGAUCCCCACGUCCCCGCUCGGACGCGGGAUCACAGCUCCAACUCCCCUUCCCAGCACAUCAUCAACAUGUUGUUUCCAGGGUCAUAAAUUUGCACGGUGAUGAGACACAACCAGAUGUUCGGCUACGUGAAGCGACUGGCGAAGCAGCCUGCCUGGCGCAGCCCCCGCCGCCGGAGCCAGCCGCCUGCUAAUGAGAAGCAGGUCUCUCGCCUCGCGCCGGGCCAGCACAGACGGGGAGCGUCCCCGGGAGCACCUGCAGAGCUGCCAUCCCGACCCCCGGCCUGCUCUCGGCGUCCGGGGAGCGACUACAGGCUCUUUGGUGUCUAUCGGCUUCUGGCGGCCAUCUGGAAAGCGAGUGCGGCCUAGCGCAGAGGGGACGUUCAAGGCCGCGGUCCUUCUUGCUAGCAAGGAAGCCGGUCACGAUGCAGUGUGAUGCUUUGUCGUGUACAAAUACUUCUGAGACGCAUGUUCUGUAUGGAUGAGCAGUUCGGUUCUUGAUGGAGAGGCCCACGGGGAUGUGAGGUCUUAGCUCAGGAUGCUGAGGCAGUACCCUCUGCCGGGAGCUGGUGUUGACUCGAGAUGCCCGUUUCCAUGACUUUGAAUGCCUGCGUCCCCUGAGUGGGUUGAAAAGUGCUGAAAAGGGAACGUGGGCUGCGGUGGUCCUCAGGAUGGCUUUCGGCCAAUGCGUGGCAGAUGCUACCCCUGCAACAUGCUUGUGAUGUUUUGGGAUGUGCACUAAACAUCUGGGAAACACACCCUGAUGGCAGUCCCUGGGCACAACCAUCAUGGGGAGGCUUUCUCUCUGUGGUCUUCUUCUGGAAGCCUCUGGAGGUCCCAGGGACAAGCCUGAGCCCCGUGUGAGGCUGGCACGGCUCCAUCGCUGCCUCGUGGCAUCAAACCAGCCCUUGCAUCACAGGGUGAGUCUAGGAUGAAGGAUGGUCCCAUGUGAAGGUCUGGUGUUGGUGCCUCUCCUCUGUUUCUUUGUUCUUCCCUGGAUCACAUGGGCAGUGAUGGCACCUCCUCAUACACCUACAUGCACUCUCCCAUCGCCUGGGCACAGACGAGUGAUAGGAGUGUGUACGUGGGUGGGCUGCACAGAAGACAGAGGACCUAUUUUGAAGAAAAAGAAUAAGGAGCAUGUUGGUACAAGGCUCCAGAGCUGCAAGUUGAUCCUGGGUGGUCACUCUUUGCUUGGAGGUUCAGGAACAGCCUCCAGAUUAGAAGAGGAGGAGAUGGAUCUUGAAUAAUGCAGCAAUUGGAGAAACUGGCAUUUUGCUAGACAGCAGACCAAGCAGCUGUGCCUCCCUGCAAGCAUCCCAGACGUGAGCUGCACCUUCCCAGGCACUUCCUUUUGCUCACCAGAGCAUGGGCACCAAGGCACGUCACUUCCUAAAGAGUGGGAAGGUCUGGAGGAAGGGAAGGACCUGCCUUCAGGACUCCCGCCGGAGCCAUAGACCCUGCCUGUUAGAGGCAGACCGGUCAGCUCGCGCCUCCGGAGCGCGGCCGUGUCCUGUUGGAGCGAGCAAGGAGCCGCACGCCGCCGUAUAUCUCUCAGAAAAUGGACCUGGUUACACGUGUCUUUGGGCAGCUGACAAGGGGAUGUAGUUUAGGGCUAAGACAGCAGCUCGGUAGCAGAAAUCAGCCUCGCCGAUAAUGAAAUCUCUUGCACGACGCGCUGAGAGCUCCGCAGCCUUAAAGGUGCAAAAUGGAGUUGUUCCGUUGGCUUGCAAUGGAGUCGGGCCAAUUCUGAAGCGAGCCCUGGAUUUUAUUCUGGG
rnacentral:lncRNA from 1 species